UACGGAGGGUGCAAGCGUUAUCCGGAUUCACUGGGUUUAAAGGGUGCGUAGGCGGAUUAGAAAGUCCGUUGUGAAAUCUCUGAGCUUAACUCGGAAAUUGCGGUGGAUACUAUUAGUCUUGAAUACUGUGGAGGUUAGCGGAAUAUGUCAUGUAGCGGUGAAAUGCAUAGAUAUGACAUAGAACACCAAUUGCGAAGGCAGCUGGCUACACAGUCAUUGACGCUGAGGCACGAAAGCGUGGGGAUCAAACAGG
rnacentral:rRNA from 1 species